AUUGAACGCUGGCGGCAUGCCUUACACAUGCAAGUCGAACGGCAGCACGGGUGCUUGCACCUGGUGGCGAGUGGCGAACGGGUGAGUAAUACAUCGGAACGUACCUUAUCGUGGGGGAUAACGCAGCGAAAGCUGUGCUAAUACCUCAUACGCCCUGAGGGGGAAAGCGGGGGAUCGAACGACCUCGCGCGAUUAGAGCGGCCGAUGCCUGAUUAGCUUGUUGGUGGGGUAAAAGCCCACCAAGGCGACGAUCAGUAGCUGGUCUGAGAGGACGAUCAGCCACACUGGGACUGAGACACGGCCCAGACUCCUACGGGAGGCAGCAGUGGGGAAUUUUGGACAAUGGGGGCAACCCUGAUCCAGCAAUGCCGCGUGAGUGAAGAAGGCCUUCGGGUUGUAAAGCUCUUUUGUCAGGGAAGAAACACCGGCUCUAACACAGUCCGGGAAUGACGGUACCUGAAGAAUAAGCACCGGCUAACUACGUGCCAGCCGCCGCAGUAA
rnacentral:rRNA from 1 species